GAUGAACGCUAGCUACAGGCUUAACACAUGCAAGUCGAGGGGCAGCAUGACGAUAGCUUGCUAUUGUUGAUGGCGACCGGCGCACGGGUGAGUAACGCGUAUCCAACCUUCCCGUUGCUAGGGGAUAACCUUGCGAAAGUAAGACUAAUACCCUAUGAAGUUCUUCGCAGACAUCUAAAGAGAACGAAAGAUUUAUCGGCAACGGAUGGGGAUGCGUCUGAUUAGGUUGUUGGCGGGGUAACGGCCCACCAAGGCGACGAUCAGUAGGGGUUCUGAGAGGAAGGUCCCCCACAUUGGAACUGAGACACGGUCCAAACUCCUACGGGAGGCAGCAGUGAGGAAUAUUGGUCAAUGGGCGAGAGCCUGAACCAGCCAAGUAGCGUGCAGGAUGACGGCCCUAUGGGUUGUAAACUGCUUUUAUAAGGGAAUAAAGUGAGCCUCGUGAGACUUUUUGCAUGUACCUUAUGAAUAAGGACCGGCUAAUUCCGUGCCAGCAGCCG
rnacentral:rRNA from 1 species